CAAGCACCAGGUUAAUGAAGCUAUUCUACCUCGAUGGUCUGGAGCAAUGAACUAAAAUAGGUUAAGGACCCAGUGGUGCCUUGAGUACAGCGUCACUGCAUUGCCAGCUCAGACAAGACAAUCGCUCAUCUUCCCUUCGUAAUGGCUCUGGCCUCGUCUCAGCUGCUCAUGCAAAGAUAUCCUGGAGCACCGCAAAAUCCCACUGGCAUCGACUUGCCUGUUCCCACCCGUCACCGC